UACAGAGGGUGCGAGCGUUAAUCGGAAUUACUGGGCGUAAAGCGUGCGUAGACGGUAGCGUAAGUCAGAUGUGAAAGCCCCGGGCUCAACCUGGGAAUGGCAUUUGAGACCUGCUCUGCUCGGGUGCGGAAGAGGGAAGCGGAAUUUCCGGUGUAGCGGUGAAAUGCGUAGAUAUCGGAAGGAACACCAGUGGCGAAAGCGGCUUCCUGGUCCGACACCGACGUUCAGGCACGAAAGCGUGGGGGAGCAAACAGG
rnacentral:rRNA from 1 species